rnacentral:rRNA from 1 species
UACGUAGGGGGCAAGCGUUGUCCGGAAUCAUUGGGCGUAAAGCGCGUGUAGGCGGUUCAGUAAGUCUGCUGUGAAAGUCCAGGGCUCAACCCUGGGAUGCCGGUGGAUACUGCUGGGCUAGAGUACGGAAGAGGCGAGUGGAAUUCCCGGUGUAGCGGUGAAAUGCGCAGAUAUCGGGAGGGACACCUAUUGCGAAGGCAGCUCGCUGGGACGUUACUGACGCUGAGACGCGAAAGCGUGGGGAGCAAACAGG